GCCAGGUGUGGGAGUGCACAUCUGUAAUCCCAGUGGCUAGGGAGGCUGAGACAGGAGGAUUGCAAGUUCAAAGCCAGCCUCAACAACUUAGUGAGGCACUAAGCAACUUAGUAAGACCCUGUGUCUA
rnacentral:sRNA from 1 species